GCAAAAUGACGAUGCCAAAAACUUGCCCUUUGAAUUAGACCCUAAUGGUGAUGGCCAAGGAAAAUACAAACUGAGGAAGGGUUUGCAAUUACAGUUGUACAUAUCACAACUACCAUGUGGGGUUGCAUCUCCGAGUUCACUGUUGUCUCCCCCAAAAAAAUCUCACCAACAGAACGUGGUUCGUCUUUGGACGAGCUUAAUGUUUCAAUAAAUGAAGAGGCUCUGCCAAAUACUAAUGGUGAUGUUUCACAACUAAUUGGCUCGGUUCAAAGAAUGCCCGGUUGUGGUGAUACAACUUUAUCAGUUAGUUGCUCUGACAAGAUGGCUCGUUGGAG